rnacentral:lncRNA from 1 species
CGGACAUCACUGCGCAGCGCACGCGCAAUAGCUCCAGAGAGGGACGUACCACCGCCAGUGGGAACGGCCUUCCAGAGUUGUCUUGAGUAUGUGGAAGUGGUACCUGGUAUCCUGAGGAUCUACUUGAUCCAACUUGCUGAGAAAGUUGCCACUGAGGAUUUGUUAUGGGCAUUCAAUUCGCAGUGAAAGUUACGCCAACUGAUGCCAGUGAGGAAAAGCAGAACUGCAGAAUUGCUGGAUUGGACAUGGGCUGUCAGAAGCCAAAGAUGACUGUAGUAUUUCUGCCCUGAUCAGCUAGAAGAAUGGAGUUGCCAGAUACCAAGAUAUGGAAGAAGGUACAAGGAACAGAAUUCAGCAGUGAAGCCAUCCAGACCUGGGCUUUUCUUUGUUGGUGCAUCUAUUUCCUGGAAAUGUCUCAAAUUUGUCCUUUAUUUCCAAAUAGUAUUCCAUUAUGUAUAGAUAUCACAUUUUCUUUAUCCAAUCAUCUGUUAAUGGGUAUACAGGUUGCUUCCAGAAUUUAUUUACUAUGAAUUGUGCUUCUAUAAACACUGGUAUGCACUAUAGUAU